rnacentral:tRNA from 1 species
AGCUCAGUUGGUAGAGCAGAGACUGAA